GCCCCGCAUCAAGAGUUGGGCGCGACCCAACGCCAACCUGCCGAUCCGGGCAAGGUGGUGCUUCCGCAAGGAAGGAUGUGGCCUUUCCGGCAACCAAACGGACAAGC
rnacentral:ncRNA from 2 species